rnacentral:rRNA from 1 species
UACAGAGGUCUCAAGCGUUGUUCGGAUUUAUUGGGCGUAAAGGGUGUGUAGGUGGCGCCGUAAGUCGGGUGUGAAAUUUCGGAGCUUAACUCCGAAACUGCAUUCGAUACUGCGGUGCUUGAGGACUGGAGAGGAGACUGGAAUUCAUGGUGUAGCAGUGAAAUGCGUAGAGAUCAUGAGGAAGACCAGUGGCGAAGGCGGGUCUCCGGGCAGUAACUGACGCUGAGGAGCGAAAGCAUGGGGAGCGAACAGG